rnacentral:rRNA from 1 species
UACGGAGGGUGCGAGCGUUAUCCGGAAUUACUGGGUUUAAAGGGUGCGUAGGCGGCUUGGUAAGUCAGGAGUGAAAGUUUGCGGCUCAACCGUAAAAUUGCUUUUGAUACUGCCAGGCUAGAAUCAGGAUGAGGUCAGCGGAAUGUGGCAUGUAGCGGUGAAAUGCAUAGAUAUGCCAUAGAACACCUAUUGCGAAGGCAGCUGGCUAGACCUGUAUUGACGCUGAGGCACGAAAGCGUGGGGAGCGAAC